rnacentral:tRNA from 2 species
GGGCGGGUAGCUUAGGUUGGUUGGAGCACCCGGCUGAUAACCGGGAGGUCGCCGGUUCAAAUCCGGCCUCGCCCA